AAGGCUUUAGCUUAAUGAAAGUGUCUGGGUUGCAUUCAGAUGAUGUGGAUGAGAAUUCUAUAGGUCUUG
rnacentral:tRNA from 2 species